AGUUUAAUAUCAGGCCUUGAGACAAAAGUGACGUCACAACCACAAACAGCAGCCACAUCCUAGCACUGGCCUAUCAGGCACUGGCCUAUCAGGCACUGAGCCACAAGUGACCUCACAAGCACAAAGAGCAAUAAUGUGUCUCCUUGUUGCCUGUCAUUUACA
rnacentral:lncRNA from 1 species